ensembl:misc_RNA Y_RNA Y RNA
GGCCAGUCUGAGUACAGUGGUGUUAAGUGAAUACAGCCAGUUACAGAUUUCCUUGUUGCUUCUCCACCCCCAAAGCUUCACUUUACUAGCCUUAA